rnacentral:lncRNA from 1 species
UAUUAACAUAGGGAAAUAAGCACUCAGGCUUGAGAAAUGAGCAUUGCACCUCCACUGUUUCUAAUAAUUAUGUCACGUAGAGGCAGGCAGCUUCUCCUUUGCAUUUUACACAUCUGACCCUGCAACACUUGUUAUCUCUAUGUCCUAAAAUGUGGAAACUAGAAUGCAAGGUCACCAUCACGGUUUCGUACACAGGCCUUUAAAUGUCUCCGCAGCAUGCUUAACAAGCUCCAAUGAUCAAAGUUUGAUGAAGAAUUCAAAAAAUGCUUUAUCUUUGUGCAUGUUUGAGUGGAGCAACCUAGAGGACCAGCAUAUUCAUGAAGACCCACAGUCUGUGCUGCAGAGUUCUCCUCUGUUCCCUCCUGACCCAGAGGCCACUCUGUCUGCACAGCCCAGGCUGCGGCACCUGUCCCAGGAGAGUUGUAUGUUGCUCACACUGGUAGAUGAGCCAUGUUCCUCAGAAGACAUCUCUGGUUGUCACUUCCAGAGAGAAGAAGGAGGCAGCCCUACUGGUAAAGACCAGAGUUUAUUCCACUUUGCUCCACAAUGCACAGCUCAUCCCUGCACAAAGACUCUCUGUUUGGCCCAAAGCAAUUACCUGAUAGAAAUAAAAUAGAUGAAGCCUAUCAUUUUUUUACACCUAUUUCUGACCUUUACUGGACUCUCCGAAUCUCCAUCUUCACUCCCUCUCCCUCCCUCCUUCUCCUCCACAUUUUGUCUUUAAUGAAAUCUCUGAUAACUCAUUUUUGUUGUUGAUGAUAAAGGAAAAUUUCUUAUAACUAGAAGUGUGAGCUGACAUUCCCCAGAAAUAUAAUCCUAAAUUAAGAAAGAAUGCAAUAAACG